GUCACUUUGGCGGAGUGGUUAACGCGCUGCCCUGCUAAGUUGGGCUUAGCAGCAUGUUAAGGCAGUUCCUUCGGGAGCGUAGGUUCGAAUCCUACAGGUGACG
rnacentral:tRNA from 2 species